AUUGAACGCUGGCGGCAUGCCUUACACAUGCAAGUCGAACGGCAGCACGGGAGCAAUCCUGGUGGCGAGUGGCGAACGGGUGAGUAAAGUAUCGGAACGUGCCCAGUCGUGGGGGAUAACGUAGCGAAAGUUACGCUAAUACCGCAUACGAUCUACGGAUGAAAGCGGGGGAUCGCAAGACCUCGCGCGAUCGGAGGGGCCUAGAUCAGAUUAGGUAGUUGGUGGGGUAAAGGCUCACCAAGCCGACGAUCUGUAGCUGGUCUGAGAGGACGACCAGCCACACUGGAACUGAGACACGGCCCAGACUCCUACGGGAGGCAGCAGUGGGGAAUUUUGGACAAUGGGCGAAGGCCUGAUCCAGCCAUGCCGCGUGCAGGAUGAAGGCCUUCGGGUUGUAAACUGCUUUUGUACGGAACGAAAAGGUUUGGCCUAAUAAGCUGAGCUCAUGACGGUACCGUAAGAAUAAGCACUGGCUAACUACGUGCCAGCAGCCGCCGUAA
rnacentral:rRNA from 1 species